GUGUUUGGUGAAUGAGUUAAGGGUGAUGUUUGUGCUGGAUCCAGAGCAUACUUCUGCCAGCUGGCUCCUGGAUCAAGCAAUGGAGAAAUGCGUGUCAAAGUGAGCCGUGGAGGUCUAUGCAAAGACAGAGUAUUCCUUUCCAAAUCAUGUCCAAUUACCCGAAGCACAACAGGCGAAUUUUAAUCACGUUGGAGCAAUCAUAUCAAGGACGUUCUAGAAAUGGGAUAUACACUUGAGACUGGCAGCUGAAAGUAUACUAGCAGAAGCCUUGAAUAAGUACGUCAGGACAACGUUCAGCCUGGUUACCAAUACAAUAAAGGAUCUAUGUAGAUUCAUAGAAGAGAUGGCUUCCCUGUAGAAAGGUUUUAAGAAGAGCAACGUCUGGAAGCUACCAAUGAAGUUCAUAUUUCCCACAAGAGCCCGGUGUCCCGUCCAGGCUGUAUUCCUGCUUUGCACCCAGACUUCCAAGGAAACGCUGUAGAUCCACCAUGAUCCUUACAAGAAUAAAGCUUUUAAAGUGG